rnacentral:rRNA from 1 species
CGUCUAUAUACGUAUAGCAUAUCAAUAAGCGGAGGAAACAGUACCUACGCUUAGGAUGUUGAAGUCAUCGUAUCGCGCGUGCUUGAUCUAUACAUGACUCUGUGCAUAUCAAUAAGCGGAGGAAAAGAGGGCUAUUACCUACGCUUAGGAUGUUGAAGUCAUCGUAUCGCGCGUGCUUGAUCUAUACAUGACUCUGCGCAUAUCAAUAAGCGGAGGAAAAGAAACUAACUAGGAUUCCCUCAGUAACGGCGAGUGAAGCGGGAAGAGCUCAAAUUUGAAAUCUUCGAAGGUUUUACCUUGACGAAUUGUAGUUUAAAGAAGUGUUUUCUGUUGGAGUUUUGGUAAAAGUUCUUUGGAAAAGGACAUCAUAGAGGGUGAGAAUCCCGUAUUUGACCAUUAUCUCCAGCUUUGUGAUACACUUUCAAAGAGUCGGAUUGUUUGGGAAUGCAGUCCAAAAUGGGUGGUAAAUUUCAUCUAAAGCUAAAUACUGGCGAGAGACCGAUAGCGAACAAGUACCGUGAGGGAAAGAUGAAAAGAACUUUGAAAAGAGAGUUAAACAGUACGUGAAAUUGUCAAAAGGGAAGCGUUUGACACCAGUGUUGUUUUCUCGAAAAUCAAUUAAAAAAGGCCGGAUUUUGUGUUGUAUUGACUUUAUCAGCUUUCUGCACUCUUUUCUUGUCUUUUUUAAUGCACUUUUCGUUUAACAAGUCAACAUCAAUUUCUUUUGUUGUAAAAGGGUCAUUGGAAGGUGGCUUUCUUUUCGGAGAAAGUGUUUAUAGCCUUUGGCCUCUGCAAUCGGAGAGAUUGAGGUCUGCAGCGUAGAUCCUUCGGGGUUAGAUACAUUUGUGCUAAGUUAUAGCCUUUCAUAGACAACUUGUUGACUAUGAUCAGUCAUGUAGCUUACUCGCUUAUGCUAUUUUACCUACGCUUAGGAUGUUGAAGUCAUCGUAUCGCGC